GGGAGACGGAAAGCGUGGAAGAGAACACAGGCGCUGACUAUGAAUCUGGGGACGUGCACAGAAAUGGAAACUGAAAACCAAAAAACUAUGGAAGAAAGCACUGAGAAGAGAAAAGAAGAAAAAAAGAAGCGAUCACGGGUUAAACAGGUGCUUGCAGAUAUUGCUAAGCAGGUGGACUUCUGGUUUGGAGAUGCAAACCUUCACAAGGACAGGUUUCUGCGAGAGCAAAUUGAAAAGUCUAGAGAUGGAUAUGUGGACAUUUCUCUCCUGGUAUCUUUUAACAAAAUGAAGAAGCUGAUAACUGAUGGGAAGCUAAUAGCCAGAGCGCUGAAAAGCUCAUCUGUUGUAGAGUUGGACUUAGAAGGGACCAGAAUCAGGAGGAAAAAACCCCUAGGAGAGAGACCAAAGGACGAGGAAGAACGCACAGUAUAUGUGGAGUUGCUCCCCAAAAAUGUCACUCAAAGCUGGAUUGAGAGAGUAUUUGGGAAAUGCGGCAAUGUGGUUUACAUAAGCAUUCCACAUUACAAGUCUAUUGGGGAUCCUAAGGGAUUUGCCUUUGUGGAGUUUGAAACAAAAGAGCAAGCAGAAAAAGCCAUUGAGUUUCUGAACAACCCACCAGAAGAAGCACCUAGAAAGCCUGGCAUAUUCCCCAAG